rnacentral:lncRNA from 1 species
AGAGAGAGCCAGAGUCGCCACAGCCAGCCUGGCAGUGCAAGCCCGGAGCUGACACAGGGCCACAGCCACGAUGCAGCCACUAAUGCGGACCCUUGGGCUGAGCCUGCUUUCCGUGCUGUGAGCCCAGGGGACCCAGGUGGUUCCUGCCCCCGCUGAGAAGGUGGAAGGACUGUGGCACGCCCUGCGCUGGGAGCAGGACAGGGAGCUACUUAAAGAGCA